rnacentral:misc_RNA from 1 species
GAUGAAGAACGUAGCGAAAUGCGAUACGUAAUGUGAAUUGCAGAAUUCAGUGAAUCAUCGAGUCUUUGAACACACAUUGCGCCCCCUGGUAUUCCGGGGGGCAUGCCUGUCCGAGCGUCAUUGCUGCCCUCAAGCACGGCUUGUGUGUUGGGCUCCGCCCCCCUCCCGGGGGGCGGGCCCGAAAGGCAGCGGCGGCACCGCGUCCGGUCCUCGAGCGUAUGGGGCUUUGUCACCCGCUCUGUAGGCCCGGCCGGCGCCCGCCGGCGACCCCAAUCAAUCUUUCCAGGUUGACCUCGGAUCAGGUAGGGAUACCCGCUGAACUUAAGCAUAUCAAUAAGCGGAGGA